GAAUUAGGGCAUUCUGACUGCCACAUUUGUUAUCCUAUUGAUCACCAGUCUUGAUUCCACUGAUCUGGCUGGCUAGGCGAGUGUCCUCUCCCAUCCUCACUGCUCCAUGUGUGCUAGGUUGAAGUGAACAGCCUUCCCAGAUGAAGGAGGAUUUUUCUUUAGUCAAGGGUACGUGAGUAGCUGCACUUUCCUGCUGGAACCUUCAAACAAGCUCUCAAGGUCUACUUGAAGGAGAACAUAAAGUAGUUAAGCUUCCAAGACUCCAGACACAUCUAAAUGAGGCACUGCACGUGACAGUCAGUUGUUAGAAU
rfam:Pteropus alecto contig49209, whole genome shotgun sequence.